UACAGAGGUCUCAAGCGUUUGUUCGGAUUCAUUGGGCGUAAAGGGUGCGUAGGUGGCGCCGUAAGUCAGGUGUGAAAUUUCGGAGCUUAACUCCGAAACUGCAUUUGAUACUGCGGUGCUUGAGGACUGGAGAGGAGACUGGAAUUUACGGUGUAGCAGUGAAAUGCGUAGAGAUCGUGAAGGAAGACCAGUGGCGAAGGCGG
rnacentral:rRNA from 1 species